GACGAACGCUGGCGGCGUGCUUAACACAUGCAAGUCGAACGGUAAGGCCCUUCGGGGUACACGAGUGGCGAACGGGUGAGUAACACGUGGGUGAUCUGCCCUGCACUUCGGGAUAAGCCUGGGAAACUGGGUUUAAUACCGGAUAGGACUCCGGACUGCAUGGUCUGGGGUGGAAAGCUUUUGCGGUGUGGGAUGGGCCCGCGGCCCAUCAGCUUGUUGGUGGGGUGAUGGCGUACCAAGGCGACGACGGGUAGCCGGCCUGAGAGGGUGACCGGCCACACUGGGACUGAGAUACGGCCCAGACUCCUACGGGAGGCAGCAGUGGGGAAUAUUGCACAAUGGGCGCAAGCCUGAUGCAGCGACGCCGCGUGAGGGAUGACGGCCUUCGGGUUGUAAACCUCUUUCAGCAUCGACGAAGCGAAAGUGACGGUAGGUGCAGAAGAAGGACCGGCCAACUACGUGCCAGCCGCCGCCGAA
rnacentral:rRNA from 1 species